UACGGGGGUUGCAAGCGUUAAUCGGAAUUACUGGGCGUAAAGGGUGCGUAGGUGGUUUGAUAAGUUAUCUGUAAAAGCCCUGGGCUCAACCUGGGAAGGCCAGAUAAAACUGUUGAACUAGAGUAUGGGAGAGGGUAGUGGAAUUUCCGGUGUAGCGGUGAAAUGCGUAGAGAUCAGAAGGAACACCAGUGGCGAAGGCGGCUACCUGGACUGAUACUGGCACUGAAGCACGAAAGCGUGGGGAGCAAACAGG
rnacentral:rRNA from 1 species